GCCGAAGGUGGCGAGCGUUGUUCGGAAUCACUGGGCAUAAAGCGCACGUAGGCGGCGACGUAAGUUGGGUGUGAAAUCCCUCGGCCCAACCGAGGAACUGCGCCCAGUACUGCGUUGCUUGAGGAUCCAAGGGGUGCAUGGAAUUCCCGGUGGAGCGGUGAAAUGCGUUGAUAUCGGGAGGAACUCCGGCGGCGAAAGCGGUGCACUGGUGGAUUACUGACGCUGAGGUGCGAAAGCCAGGGGAGCAAACGGG
rnacentral:rRNA from 1 species